AUUUGGAAAUCUUUUACAAAUGUAUCAACCCUUAUUCAAUAGUGUUUAAAAACAGUGUUAGAAUAGUUUGAGCUGGUGUGUGUAUAAUGGUGUGUGUAUAUAAAUUGUCUAAGCAGUAUGUUCUAAAUUGAAUAAGGUGACUGGAGGCAGCCUAGCUUUUCAUGUUUGUUCUCUGUGGACUGUUAGUGGGUCCAACAGCAGCAGCAGCUGGAGACUCUUGGAGCCAAACAAAGCAAAGCUAUCUUUCACGUUUUUCAGUCUGAUUGAACAGUUAUUGAUUCAAGUUAGCAUGAGUUUAUAGAGCUUCUUUUUUUGGGGUUAAAUUAAUUUACUAAUUUUGACGUAUAAGAAGACCUUGAACAAAUUAUUUAAGUUGAUUUAAUUGAGAAACCAGAUAUAUAGGAUUUACAGUGCAGUAAGCCUUUUAUAUGGCAAAUACUUAAGCUUGGGGUUUGGGUUAUUGCAGGAACAGUACAGGAAAUCUUUUAUAAUGCUAGUGACGGCACCAGUAACGUUCAUUUAGUUUUUUUAAAACAGCGGGCAUGUAUUCCUGGGCCCCAAACUGAAAAAACAUUCAGCUCAGUGUGUAACUGAAAGGCAUGUACUAAUGAUUGAGUCAUGCAUCUAUAAUGGUUGGAAAGGCAUAGCAUGUUUAGAUUGAUGGCAGAGGAGGCGGGACUCUGUGUGUGUUCCUGAAUCCCAUCGAUUGUCUGGUUUUCACCUCAGAGGAACACACACGUCAAAGCUUUGUUAAACUCGUUCAUCUAUUUACAUUUCUGUUAUCUGUGCAGUGUGCUAACAUAGCAUGACAAAUUAAAGAAAAUAUCAGUCGCUCCAGGCAGUAUAUGGCUGACAGUAACAUGUGUGAACUGAAAGCUGAGACAAUAUGUGUAGCCUACACGAUACAUCAACUCCAAGGCCAAGUGUGUAAGUGUUGAUAUUUCACUCAAGUAGGAAACUAAGUGUGAUAAAUAAACUGACAACUUAAAUACUGUGUAGAGGAAGGGGGAGUCUUAAAGAAACAGGAGCUAAAUCAAGGCAUUUCAGACAGAGGCUGUAAAGAGGAGCUGCAGCACUAGACAGCACGAGGAUAGUGAUGUGCCUUCUGAACAUAAGAGCAUGUAGCCCUUUUCAAGUAAUAACCCAAAUUAAAAUGAUGAAUCCUAAUACCAUUUAAACGUUAAAAUUUGAUCUAAAAAUCAUAUUCACAAAUUACAAUUUGCCUUAACAAUCUGGACGAGGUCUGACAUCCUCCGUCUUUAAACCUUUACUAGAGUGAGGGAAAUCGACCAGAAAAUAAAACGUGUUAAAAACACAGGAAGCCCAAACACUGCAGGAAUCUAUAUAUGUCCUUUAACAAAGCUGUCAAACCUGCUGUGCUGUGUGAAGUUCGCGCUCAAAUCCUGUUGAUUAUGAAUCAUGCUCAAACUGUUUUUUCAUACGACGUUCAGUAGGAAAUGUAAUGCCACCUGGAUUAUGUUGACUGAUGACGGUUUUGCUCUUAUACAGGACACAGUGAUGUUAUACUGCAUUGAAACGUUGUGGGGAGGAAGGCGGAGUGGAUGCAAACAGUACAAAGCUCAUUAGUUCGACAGUCUAAUCCUCCAAAUCACAGCUGACUCAGUAUUCUACCAAGACCAUAACCUUUCUCUAUAUUCAACAAAGUGCUUUGGUUGCCUAACCUUGUGAUAUAUUUGUCAUAACCACAAUGUUUCCUGAACCUUAACCAAGUGCUUUCAGUUGCCUAAACAUAAUCAUGAAGCCCUUAAUCAGGCUUUAGUUGCCAACAGCGGAUACUUUAAGGAAAACAAAUGAAAAAGUUAGACAGUAAAACGGCACAUGAAAGUUCACUCUUAACUAUGGAAAAAGAAGUUGACAAAAACUCCCCACAUAGUCCAAGGUUUAGUAGCUCUUCUAGAGCUUUUGAUCAUAUCACAUGACAUUCUUCAUUAUAGGAUGGAGUUGGCCCAUUUGCAAUGGGAUUUUCGAUGAAGACACUUUUAUCACCACACAUGAAUAAUAGUUCUGAGUAUCUUGAUACUAACAUUAUCAUUAAAACCAUCUUAUUUCUACUAUGUUUGUGUGGUUGUGACUUUGGUUUGUUAUCAUUAUUCUGUUGUUAUUAUAAUUCUCCAGUUCUUUUGGUUGUAAAGUUACCUUUCAAAUGAGGCUGAGAUUCACUGGAAAAAAAAAGUUUAAAGAAAAUCAAGUCACUUUGAAAACAUGCAACUGAUACAUCCCAUUCUGUCGCCCUCAUGUCAAAGUGUUGAAAAUUACUCAUAUAAUUACAGUGCUGCAUAAUAUAUACACAACCAACCACGACUUAAAUUUCAUUGUCCUCGUUAAAUACAACUACCCUCUCAGAUCGGUGCUCCAUGAAACAAGGUCUUUGGCUUUCGAGGCUGUCAGAGUGCCAAAGUUCAACUGCAGGACUGGGGUCAUAUUGUUUGAACAAUCAGGAUGUGAGUAGAGAAAAUGUGUCACCAUUUUUAAUAGAGCCUCCCUCACAGUUUGAUGUUGCAGUUGCAUAUGUCUGUCCACGAGUUCACCAAGGUUCCAGAAAUUGGUCUCCAAACCUGAAAAGACCCUGAGAUGUUCUACCCGAACCCAACCCAUGGUUACACAUCUCAAACCCAGCCGGGAGACACAGACCUAAUUGGACCAGAUUUCGAACUUUGCUUAUCUUAGACCACUCUACUUGCAAUUGAAUCUUCACAUUCCAAGCGUAACGCCUCUCCAUAAUCGCUUGAGAAAUAGUAGCAAUAAAGGUUUAGGGGUUAAAAGCAUUGAUUUUCCUCAGAGAAAAGGAUGAAAUAACCCAAACAGCUAAUAUGACGUGGAGUUGUAGUGUGUUUAAAUGCUGAUGUUGUCAUGGGAAGAGAGAUUCAGGGUUGAUGUAACACAGACAAUCCAAGGUUGUUGAGAUUGUCUACAAACUGGUAGCCUGUAGUGCUUGACACCAUUUAGAAUAAUGAACAAUAAGUUGAUGAAAUAAACACAUUAGAGCAUGCAAAAUGGAUGCAACAUGCUCUGAAAUGUCUAAGUUACUCCUCUGCGUGACUGUCUAGUGUUUUCCUCUGUGAGGCAAGCACAAAAGGAUGACAGCAGGUCAAAUGAGGGGCGCACUAGCAACAAUGGCGUUCUUUACCUCUUCAUGGCCGCACACAGUUCCACUCAUCAAGGCUGCAGCCGUGUCUUUGAGUCAAACAAUCCAAAUGCUUUCAAAGUGGCAUUUUUCGUUAAACAUAAAAUAUUUAAUUUGCGGACUAAUGCACUUAAAAUGACAAGGACUUUGCCUCAAAAAGGAAAAAAUUGGCCUUUUGUCCGUUGCCUAUUUUCCUGAAUAAGGGAUGUAGGUUUUUAUUUUUUUUCAUUUCUAACUGCAUUAAAAGAAGAAGUAUAGUCCUUUAUGCAAUGUUUCAAAGACUGGGAAACAGAGACACAGCUGAAGCAACUCUUUUCAAAGAGUUUUUUUUAUUCGAUUUCCUUUUAUUCAGGAGUUUCAUUUAGCUUUUUAGUUAUUGUUGAAGGCCUCCCAAGCCUACUGACCUUAGGGAUUUUCAUAAACCCCAUCCCAAUUUACAAUCUUUGUCAAUUUUCAUUAGCUAAGAAUUGUCCAACAAUGCAUUCAAGGGGAGGUUUUACAAUGAAGCUCACAUAAAGUAUAGUGUUUCUCAAAAUUAAAGUAAUAAGUUUAGCACUGCAAGUAUAUGAGGAGAAAUAUUUUUCUUUGGUCACACUGUAUCAUUUCAGGGAUACAAUAAACACAUGCUUUAUCCAUCCCUUAAUUAUAAUGCUUAUCCUUGAGCGCCACGGCCAGCUGCCAUUGGGCAAGUCGCCGGGCACACAUCUCAUUCAGGUUGCCAGAAGAUAACAUGGCUUCAGACAACAACCAAUCACGACACACAAAGGCAGGUAGGUUUGAACUUCUACUACUUGUCUGAAGCCAUUACUUGAAGUCAGUGUUUAUCUUUAGAGCUAGGGUUUGUAAUCCUGGAAAAGCUAGCCAAAGCAGGCUGCACUUUGAUCAGCCCUCAUGUCAUAGCUAUGCCCCCAUGCUAACAUGAACGUGCACUGACUGACAACUGCUAGAGACCGGCUUGAGGAGAGAGAGCAAAGAGGAGCUUGACAUCAACUACUCCGUGUCUGAAUCACCUCUAAGAAAACAUUUAACUCUAUCACAAUGAACCUAACCAAUCAUUAGUACUCAAACUAGCAUGUUAGCAUGGGGGAUUUUUUUAUUCAUAAUUUCGUUAGAUACUGUAACAUAUCGAAAUAUAAGACUGUAAAGACUCUGGCCCCGCAGAGUGAGAAUCUGGGCUGGCAGGUCGGUUAUUGACAGACGAGUAUGCUGACAUAUCAUUUCAUUCAGUCCAUUAAGCCCAUUAAGAUAUUAUUAGUGUUUCAGAUACAAUUUUGCAACCCUACCUUUGAGGCGAUGUCAGUGUGAUUGACUGUCAGUCCGAUGUGAUCCAGAUCUCAAUAGAUUUAUAGCUGUGUGUUUAUUUAUUUCAUUUGCAGAUCUUCAUUGUCCCCAGAGGAUACUCACUUUAGUCUUUACCUGAUCUAUCCUCGAGCCAAACCAGGAGGUGGAGAUUUGCGGGCUUGAGUGAUAUUGGCUGGAUUUCACUGAAGGAUGUUUUUAAUUAAUUAAAGCUAAACUGUUAUCAUUUAGGAUUUUUGCAUCCAUGUUCCACCUUUGGUUGAAUUGUUUCAACCUCAUUUUCCUAAUCUCUUGAGUGAUCUACCGUAUAGUUGUACGUUUUGGGUCGUUUUGCAGUAAAGAUCCACGAGAGAACAAUGCUUGGAACAGUAUGAACCAGCAGUGUGAUGUAAAGUCAUAGGAAAGAAUCGGUUCUUAACCACUACACCCAAAACCUUUUAGUGUUUUUAAUCCAUGCUUUAUGUGGAAAUCCAUCAUCACACCAGUUAGCCUUGAUUUCAAUAAAUAAAUGCAAACUUCUACUCUUUAUCUGUAAAAUCAAACACACAAUGCUCAUCCUGACACAUGGUAAACUCAAGGCAAGUGCAAGGGGUCAAUUAUUACCUUUUUGAAUCAUGAGCAUUGAAUGAUUAAGCAUCAUCAGCUCUCAGCUCAAAGAGGAUGACUGUGACCAGUGAGUGCGAUUUAAUGACUAGUGGAGCCUCCAUGAUCAUAAACAGUGUGGCUUUGAUGCCUCAUAGAUGGAGCCUCCCCAACACGUUUGAAGAGGGCUCCUCCUUUGUAAUAGCAAAUUGUAAUUCUCUUGAUCUAGAGGCCUGAUCGGUAAGAAGAGAAAAGAAGAUUUUGUUCUCUGUACUCUUCAAGAUGAUUUUUAGAAGCCAAAAGGUGAAUUUGCCUGGGGCUUCCAUCUACAACCGGGCUUUCAUGAAGAAAGAGUGUCAUUAUGCCUCAUCAUCUCCACACAUGCCAGAAGCCUGUGAGAAAAGAAAGGUAUGAGCAAAGACCUGCACAAGGCUGCGCUCAAGUUGCCCACAUGGACACCCCAUUGAACUGCAGAGCUGCCAAAUGAUCCAAGGAUACUCUUCGGCAAGUGACUGAACCAACAUUUUCCCUGUGCCGCUAACGCUUGGUGUGUAUUAGAGAAAGUGUAUAAUGGUUCCAGCGGCAUAAAAUGGGUGAAAUGCGGCAAGAGAACCAGCAGAUCUCUGAGUGCGACACUCCGUAGUAUCUGCAGACUUUAUCCACCAGACCUCCUCGUAUACCGUCUGUAGAAAUCCAGGAGGAGUCAAAGUGUGAAUCCAGUAGGGCAUCCCCAUUGACCGGCUGCUCCACCUCUCGCCUGAAUAACGCAGAGGAUCUGAUGCUGUUGUGAACACGUCUGUGCCGAGAACCUCCCACUUUGUUGUGUAUGUGUGAAAUGCAAACUCUGGGUGAACUCCGUAGUCAAUUCUCCAGAUUUUACCCAAAGGUCAAGACUGAAAACUGCUCUCGAGAAAGUUACAAAUCCUAUUUGAAUUUUCCGUAGAUGUCACCAGUUACAGGCUUAGUGAUUGUUGCACAAAAUCUCAUAAAUUGGCGACUUUUCUUAUCAGAAAGUUACCUUGUACCAUGUUUAAUCCCAGGGAAUAUUGAAAUUAUUUAUUUAUUUUAAAUGAUAUGUUGGAGGUUCUCUGUUUAGUAGUGGGAUAUGAUGAUAUUGCAAGAAAAAAUGUUCCAUAAAUGUUCUGCUUAUUGUUAGAUGGACGUUUGAACUUGUCUCUGCAGUUUGACUCAUGUAGACACAUUUUCACAUUCAUUGGCUGAGGGGGGAAUGUUUCACUGUGCUCAGGUUUGAUUCCAAUAUGCGACUUACAAAAGUGGGAUGUGGAAGUUUGAAACCUGUGUUUAUAAACUUUUUUAACCAGGGAAAAAAAUUAUAUAUAGAUUUUUUUUUUCUUCUAUUUUUAACAAGGUAAUUCAACUUUUUGGUGGAAAACCCUUAUUACUUUGUUUAUGUGUCAAAACAAGCUCAAUGGAAUGUUAACAUAAAUGUGUUGAAGCCACAGUCAUGACAUUAGGUCAACAUGACUAUUCUGCUGUUCUGACACCUAAUCUGUAUGUAGCUGCCAGCAGCUUUAACCACCAGGAAACUAAGGAGAACUUGAGGAUUACAUCAGUUUCUUUCGGAGAUUUAAUAAAGCUUGUAUGUGCAGCACAUACUAUACAUAUGAUUGUGAGUAUCAAGCAAUGAAAGCACUACUGCUCUGCAUUGAACUAGGUUAAGGUGCUGAAAGCUCAACCAAGCACACACAGAAACAUUCUGUUCACUUGCAAACAGCUAAAUGUUCAUGCUGCAGAAAGGGGAAAGGAAAUGUAAAUGAUGAUGACUUAUUUAAUGAGAUUAACAUUGCAACAGCACAAAUCUGAUUUUAAACACCCCUCCCAAAUAAAAGGAGUGUGUGACAAACUUGCAGGCGCCCCUCACAGGGUGACGCUGCAGUUGAUUUGGGAAUUACAAUUAGAUUUAUGAUGUGGCUGCAUAUGGCUGAGCUCUCUGUUUCUCUCUGUGAAAACGCUGGGAUUGGCUGCAGCGAAUGCCGGCGCCAUGGCGUAUACACCACAGCACAUUCAGAAUGUGUGGCGUUACCUCACACAUACACACACACACACACACAAUGGAACAAUAGGCCACAUUUACGGUAAUGGGCCACCAAAAUAUAAGACCAAAUGGAACCGCUCAAUAUUAAAAACAGAAAUCCUUGUGUUGGAAAUUAUAAGAUCCUUGGAAAGUGAGGGCACUAUCUAGAGUAAAGGAAAUAAGAAUUCAUGCAGUUACCUGAAAUGUGUGCACGCCGCUUUCAGACACAAAAGACACAAGUGUUUCACUGCAAAUAAUCGGUUUCAUGACAUGUUCAUUUCUCAAUGUUGCACAAAAGUCAAAGAAGCACUUUAGUAAAGAAAAUGUCACCUUAACUUUUUAUUUAUUUAUUAUUAUUUUUUUGAUUGUCUUUCUCACCAAGUUUGUACUGACACUUUUUAGAGCCAAAGCUGGCUAAUAAAUACAAUGAAAUGUUAAAACGCACAAUUGAAUUUCAAAUACAAUACUCAUCACAAAAACAAAACAAAAUGUGUGUGUGACCAAAAGACGUCAGAAGCUGGUCACAACUGACAAGAGCAUGAGGUUACCUGAAAGGGAUCAGAGGUGAAGGGACCACUUUAGGCAACAUCGUUUGUUUAAAUAAAUGAAAUGCUUCUAGAGAAAAUGGCAUUAUGCUGGUGCCUGGCAUGUGCGAGGCUUCCUCAAAAGAGACUUUUGACUGUUCUAAUUUAGCAUGUUGAAAAUCAAACAACAAUUUCACAUUAGUCAAUACUGGAAAAAAAAGAAAAAGGAAAAAAAAAAAAAACUAUAUAUAUCCAGUGCUUAGGAUGUGUAUGACACUAACUGAAAUCUAUAUGUAUGAGACCUUUUCCCCGGGAGAAAAAAACAAUGUAAGAAUUGCCAGAUAUGGUCACAAAUAGUUAUAUGGAGUCAGAACGCAGCUGAACACAGCACCCAGAAACCACCUGAGGUCACAGGUGUCCAAAAUGGAAACGUGUUCAAUUUGCAGAGAGGAUGGUGAAAAUAGACAAAAGAAGAAAAAAAACAAAAAAAACGUUUUAGAGAAAGAAUGUGACAUCUGAGUAAAAUGGAGGAAAAAAUCGUUCAAACCCAGCAUGGUGCUGACCACUGGGCCUCGCCGAAAGACGAAAGAGGAACAUCUUGCUCCAGACUGUGGAAAACUUGUGUGAUCCGACCAAUGGCUGCGACUGAGAGAAAAUGAUGCACCAUUUUUUCCUCCAUUCUUCUCUUAAUAAUUUACUUGUCUUCAAAAUAUACAUGCGAUGUAGAAAAAGGUACCCUUUUCGAAAUAACAGACCUAUGAGUACCAUUCAUUUGCAACUAUAUAAUUUUUCUUUUAAACAAUUUGGUGUAUCUUUCCCACAUGAUGCAGAGAAGACGUUAAAAAAAUAUUAACAAACUAAUACAAAUAUUAACAUUAUGCACAUCUUUGUACCGAUGGAAAACACAGUUAAUAACUCUUAUCCUACAGUAUAUGUUCUUCGUGGGGCUGCUUCUUCCCCUUCGUUAUGAUGCUGAAGGUUCUCUUUUAAGACUGAAUUAUUAUUAUAUAUUAAGUGUAUAUUAAGGUAGAAAUCAAACCAUAGCAUGACUUGAUAAAUGAUCGAAGUCGGGCUUCAGUCAGCAUACUGCGCUGCAUUUGUUGCACAUCGUGAUAAGUGUUUGGCCUCAAAGAACCAUGGGCAAUGUGGUUCUUGAAAGCACUACUACAAUGGAAUAGAGGAACAGACUCAUUAAAAAUGCUACUCUUCUAAAAGCCGGAGGGUCUGCCACUGAGUGACGCGAAAUGUGUGCAUGUGUGUGAAUGACUGAGGCAGUGCGAUGAAAACAAAUCUUCCCUGAGGAGGGAGGCCAGCAGGUACCAAGCAGGAACUCAUCUCAUCAGAUAGAGACAGCUGAUUGUAUAAGACUUUUUUGCAGCAUUGGAAGUUAAGACUACGACAUCCAGAGUGAAUGUGAAUGGAGGUUUGGCACAUUUGAAUUAAAUCCGUACAAUGUCUGGGUACUACUACUACUACUACUACUAAUAAUAAUAAUAAUAAUAAUAAUAAUAAUAAUAAUAAUAAUAGAUAUAUAAGGGAUGUUGCUCCCCAUAUUUCUUGACAGUCUAAAAAAGUCCUACCACUCUUUUUAUAUGAAAACAAACAAAACAAAACAAAACAAAACACAUUCACAAGCUGGCACAUCAUACCUGAGCUGGGAUAUUUAAAAAAAGAAGAUCUAACAGUUAUGUAAGCAGUUUGUCAGAAACAAGAUGUCGAUGCACUGUAAAUGUAAGAAAACAAAAGUAAGACUAUAAGAUUACAAGAGCUAAGAUUUAUAUUAAAACUUUUCAAAUUUCAAGUUCCGACAGUCCAGAGUUUGUACAGGCAGUGA